rnacentral:misc_RNA from 1 species
AAAACAUGUACAAUUUGGGGUCAUCUGAACUCUCACCUAUGAGACAAAACUACAUCUCAGAAGGCUCAAUCACUUGUGAUUUUCUUUAAUUAGUUAUGUAAAGAACACAAUGAACAAGACGAAAACAAUGUUAGUAAUCUUCAACUCUUAGUUGAGCAUUGUUUACUACGAAAAUCUUCAGACAGCAGUUUGUUCAUCAACUCUUGCAACCUGUUGGCUCCAGGACCAGGCCUAAAUACCGAGUCGUCUCCUAUCACGGAGCAGGGAUCAGCUCCAUCAGCUGAGGUUCCAUUACACCAUGCUCCUGGUGCAAAACGAUGUGUACGACCAAGUAAUUCUCUGUCAAUCUUGUCUAAGACAGGAUCAUCCUUGCGGAAUUUUCGAGCAAAUGGUGCACUGCUAUUAACCAUUUUGUUGAAAUCCUUCACUGUCAGUGAAACAGGAUGCUGCUUGGGAGGGGUGUCCCAAGCAAUAUAGUGCAAAUCAUGGCCUAUUGCUGUGCUACGGAACUCUUCCUUGUUGCAAAUUACUGUGUGAAAGUAACCUUCUGGUGAAGAAACAAAAUUUGCAUAGUACAUGAGCAGAGUUCUUGGAAAGUUAUCCCAUCCCCAUAUGCAGUACUCCACAAAAGAGCGUGUCAAAACCACCCAAGCUGAGCCUGUAAACAAUGUAAAAGCUGUAGGUAGUGAUCGUCGUUGAGAAGUCGUGGCAAGUUCAGAUUUCUUAGACAAAUAAAGACCAGGAUCAAUAAUAAUAGGUUUAGCUCUCUGGUUCAGUUUCCACCCAUGAAGUAGCAUAUUUUCAAUGAAAUUCAGGUUUCUGGACAUAUUAGAGAAAACAUGGAGCAAAUCAUCUUGAGUCAUCA